GCUUCAGCCUCUUCCCCCCCCCCCCUGUCGAACAGAUAAGGAGAGAAGGAACGAGAGUGCAGCGGCGUCGACAGGGCUGGCAGCGGCGCUCAGAUUUGUGAAGUGUUCAUCGAUCUGCAGGCCAGUUGAAGGCUAACAAGGCAAGCAAGGAGAUAAAGUCUUACAAGACCAAAGUAAUCAAGAACUGGGAGUCCAUAUGUAUCGUAUAUUCAAAAGAUCAUGCUAAUGGCGAGGGUGCGAAGACAUGUGCUGAGAUUGCUGCAGAGCCAUUAGAAGAACCAAUUGAAGUCUCUCCAGAAGUAGCACCAAAGAGGCAGCGAACAGGUGAUGCUAUUCUUUGCAUGCUUGGAGAUAUGAAGAAGGACUUAGUUGAUGCUUUCAAGACAACUGAGCCUAUUCCACUACCAAAGGUUACCACACCCACUGAAAUACUUGAUGCACUUAGAUUGAUACCUGAUUUAGCUGAGCAAGAUAUGCUUCGAUGUUACGGGAAGUUGGUACUCAAUGAUCGCCUAUUUCAAGCUCUGAAGGAGCUGCCCAUUACCAUGAGGAAGACAUGGCUGCUAAUGUUGCCUUGAAGAUCAAUGCUUUUAUGUGUUGUUGAACUUUGAACCAUCUAUUUUAUGUCAUGUUGAACUUGGAACUAUGUAUGUACUGCCUUGUUGAACUUGGAACUAUGUAUGUACUGCCAUGCACUGUUUAUGUCAAGCAUUUGUACAUAUCUUCUAAAUUGUUGUGAUUUAUGUCAUGUACGAGACCAUAUUUGAG
rnacentral:rRNA from 1 species